UUUCAGGAAUCUGCGCCAUAUUCAUAGGGCUGCACAUUUAUGUAUAGUGUUCAGCUCUGCAUUGACCCCACAAAAGAACACAACUUCAAAUGUUUCACUUUAAGGCACAGAAAAUUCAAGAAGACUGGCCUCCCAGAAGAAUGCAGCAAGAGCCCAGCAUUUUUGCAAACAUAGCAUAUAACAUCAAGUUUCCACAGGAAUUCCCAUAUUCCCACCAAUUGGAGAGAAAAAAAAAGCAGAUGCCAGAACAUAGAGAUCAGAUGCUGCCACACUGCCUAGAGACUGGAAAUGACAGCCUGCAACAAGCCACACCUGAAGGCUGCUCUUGAGGGCAGGAAAACAGAAGGUCCAAGGAGAAGGAAAACGCUGUUUUGGUUCCAUUUGAACCAAAAUGCUGGUAAAUGUUCACUUCAACUUUUUGUGGUUUUGUGUUCAUUUCAAA
rnacentral:lncRNA from 1 species